CAUACUAGAAUAAACAUAUUAAUAAAAACCUGUAUAUUGAGGUACAGUUAUAUCAAAACAUUAUAGCGUUCCACUAGAUUUUGGAGCAUGGCAAGAGGGUUAGUGUGGUCAGGUACUGAUGUAAGGUGAGGAGGUCUGGGGUUCCAGUUCAUCCCAAAGGUGUUCAGUGGGGUUGAGGUCAGUGCUCUGUGGAGGACACUCCAGUUCUUCCACUCCAACCUUAACACACCGUGUCUUCAUGGAGCUUGCUUUGUGACAGCAUAUACAAUUGUGCGCUUCCAACUUUUGGCAACAGUUUGAGUGAGAACAGCAUACAGGGAUCAGGGCUGCACUGUCAUCAAACCAUCCAUCCAUCCAUCUGUCCAUCCAUCCAUCCAUCCAUCCAUUCAUCCGUCCAGCCGUCCAUCCAGCUGUCCGUCCAUCUGUCCAGCCAUCUGUCGAUCUGUCCAUCUGUCUGUCCAUCCGUUCAUCCAGCCAUCCAACCGUCCAUCCAUCCAUCCGUCCAGCCGUCCAUCCAUCCGUCCGUCCAGCCGUCCAUCCAUCCGUACAUCCAACCGUCCAUCCAGAUGGAGGAGGAGAAAGAAAGCGCGAGGGAAAUACAGAGGCUGGUGAGCAGAUGGGAAAAAUAGAAACCACAUCCAGCCAUGUCACAGCAGAUUAGUUCCUUUUAGAACACUGGGCACUUAACAGAUCACAAAUACUGUGCAGAAGGCCAAACAAGUUAAACUACUGAGCUUAAACAUACAGUAAUAAAGAAAUUCACUCACAACUGUGAUUAAUUCAAAAUACAAACUCUCGCAUCAGACAUCGACUCAGAUCUGUAACUAAUCCAAACCCAGA